CCUACGGGAGGCAGCAGUGAGGAAUAUUUGUCAAUGGGCGCGAGCCUGAACCAGCCAAGUCGCGUGAGGGAGGACGGCCCUACGGGUUGUCAACCUCUUUGGCCGGGGAGCAACGGGCGCCACGUGUGGCGUCACUGAGAGUACCCGGAGAAAAAGCAUCGGCUAACUCAGUGCCAGCAGCCGCGGUAAUACGGAGGAUGCGAGCGUUAUCCGGAUUUAUGGGGUUAAAAGGGUGCGUAGGAGGAUCGUUAAGUCAGUGGUCAAAUUGAGGGGCUCAACCCCUUCCCGCCAGUGAACCUGGGGUGCUGGAGUGGAAGAGAAGUAUGCGGAAUUCGUGGUGUAGCAGUGAAAUGCAUAGAUAUCACGCAGAACCCCGAUUGCGAAGGCAGCAUGCCGGCUUCCGACUGACGCUGAAGCACGAAAGCGUGGGGAUCGAACAGGAUUAGAUACCCUUGUAGUC
rnacentral:rRNA from 1 species